rnacentral:rRNA from 1 species
UACGUAGGCAGCGAGCGUUGUUCGGAGUUACUGGGCGUAAAGGGUGUGUAGGCGGUUCUUUAAGGUUAGUGUGAAAUCUCCCGGCUCAACCGGGAGGGUGCGCUGAAUACUGAAGGACUAGAGUACGGGAGAGGAAAGUGGAAUUCCUGGUGUAGCGGUGAAAUGCGUAGAUAUCAGGAGGAACACCGGUGGUGUAGACGGCUUUCUGGACCGUAACUGACGCUGAGACACGAAAGCGUGGGUAGCAAACAGG